rnacentral:rRNA from 1 species
AUUGAACGCUGGCGGCAGGCCUAACACAUGCAAGUCGGGCGAGAGGCGGACGGGUGAGUAAGGGAUGGGGAUCUGCCUGAUGGAGGGGGCUAACUACUGGAAACGGUAGCUAAUAGCGCAUACCAUCAGUUGAACCCAUAGGGGAUUAGCUUGUAGGUAAGGUAACGUCUUACCAAGGCGACGAUCCCUAGCUGGUCUGAGAGGCUGAUCAGCCACACUGGGACUGAGACACGGCCCAGACUCCUACGGGAGGCAGCAGUGGGGAAUAUUGCACAAUGGGCGCAAGCCUGAUGCAGCCAGGCCGCGUGUAUGAAGAAGGCCUUCGGGUUGUAAAGUUCUGUCAGUCGGGAGGCGUUAUCGACAGAAGAAGCACCGGCUAACUACGUGCCAGCAGCCGCGGUAAUAC